CAGCCGCCGCGGUAAUACCGGCGGCCCGAGUGGCGGCCACUAUUAUUGGGCUUAAAGCGUCCGUAGCCGGGUUGGUUAGUCUCCCGGGAAAUCUGGCCGCUUAACGGUCAGAAUUCCGGGAGAUACUGCCAGCCUAGGGAACGGGAGAGGCCGAGGGUAUUCCCGGAGUAGGGGUGAAAUCCUAUAAUCCCGGGAGGACCACCUGUGGCGAAGGCGCUCGGCUGGAACGGGUCCGACGGUGAGGGACGAAGGCCAGGGGAGCAAACCGGAUUAGAUACCCGGGUAGUCCUGGCUGUAAACGAUGCGGACUUUGUGUCGGACAAGCUAUGAGCUUGUCCGGUGCCGGAGGGAAACCGUUAAGUCCGCCGCCUGGGGAGUACGGCCGCAAGGCUGAAACUUAAAGGAAUUGGCGGG
rnacentral:rRNA from 1 species